ACUGGGUAGAAGCUUCAGAGUCGUUGAAAUUGCAGACGACCAUUGACCAACCCUCUUGUUGAACAGCGAAGAAGUUUCUACCUGCUACCGGCGGUCAAUAAACACACAUAUUAAGUAAUUAGUCCACGUGUUCAUUUCGCUUCUAUAAAUUCCCGCUGCUAAUCGAACCCUGGCAUCGUUUAAUCUUCUGCGUGUGAAGGAUUUUGAUUUUUGCGAGAGCAUUUUCUGUGUGAAGGAUUUCGAUUUUUAAGUGUUGACAAGCUUUAGGAAAAAUGGCAAGCAGAGCUUUCAUUAGCGCAGUUAUGGCGGUUGUUUUGAGCAUGCUUGCCUUUAUGGCGGUGAAUGCUCAGGAAGUUUCAGCCCCUGCGCCUGUCCCUACCAGCGAUGGGUACGCCAUUGACCAAGGAAUCGCCUACAUCCUCAUGCUGGUGGCAUUGCUUGUCACCUAUUUCUUGCACUGAUUGCACACCAAACAUUCUUUCUUCGGAUCACACGGAUUGUUUUCCUUAUUGAAUUAGGGUCUGCAUAAAUUUUCAAAUCAAGUGCUGCAAAGAUUGAUCUCCUAUUCUUUAUUCAUUAUCCAUGCCUGCUCUGUAAAGAUCGAUCUCCAAUUCGUUAUUCAUUAUCCGUGCCUGCCAGGGCAUGAUUGUACAACAGAAAUUUUUCAUUAAGAUUAUCUUUAUAUGAGAAAUAAAUUAUUUUUUUAAAAUCA